rnacentral:rRNA from 1 species
AGUGAACGCUGGCGGUAGGCCUAACACAUGCAAGUCGAACGGCAGCACAGUAAGAGCUUGCUCUUACGGGUGGCGAGUGGCGGACGGGUGAGGAAUACAUCGGAAUCUACUUUUUCGUGGGGAUAACGUAGGGAAACUUACGCUAAUACCGCAUACGACCUACGGGUGAAAGCAGGGGAUCUUCGGACCUUGCGCGAUUGAAUGAGCCGAUGUCGGAUUAGCUAGUUGGCGGGGUAAAGGCCCACCAAGGCGACGAUCCGUAGCUGGUCUGAGAGGAUGAUCAGCCACACUGGAACUGAGACACGGUCCAGACUCCUACGGGAGGCAGCAGCGGGGAAUAUUGGACAAUGGGCGCAAGCCUGAUCCAGCCAUACCGCGUGGGUGAAGAAGGCCUUCGGGUUGUAAAGCCCUUUUGUUGGGAAAGAAAAGCAGCAGGUUAAUACCCCGCUGUUCUGACGGUACCCAAAGAAUAAGCACCGGCUAACUUCGUG